rnacentral:rRNA from 1 species
GACGAACGCUGGCGGCGUGCUUAACACAUGCAAGUCUAGGGAAAGUUCCGCUUCGGUGGAAUGGAUACUGGCGCACGGGUGAGUAACGCGUAUGCAAUCUACCCUUGAUUCGGGGAUAACACUUCCAACGAGGUGCUAAUACCCGAUGAUGCAGCGGCACCGCAUGGUGACAGUUGUUAAAGCUCCGGCGAUCAAGGAUGAGCAUGCGUCCCAUUAGGUAGUUGGUAAGGUAACGGCUUACCAAGCCAUCGAUGGGUAGCUGGUCUGAGAGGAUGAUCAGCCACACUGGGACUGAGACACGGCCCAGACUCCUACGGGAGGCAGCAGUGAGGAAUAUUGCGCAAUGGACGAAAGUCUGACGCAGCAACGCCGCGUGCGGGAUGAAGGCCCUUUGGGUCGUAAACCGCUGUAGCAGGGGAAAAAUAUCCGCCUCGGGUGGAUUGAUGGUACCCUGAAAGUAAGCCUCGGCUAACUACGUGCCAGCAGCCGCGGUAAUACGUAGGAGGCAAGCGUUGUCCGGAUUUACUGGGUGUAAAGGGUCCGCAGGCGGGCUUUUUAGUCGGGGGUGAAAUCCUGCAGCUUAACUGUAGAACUGCCUCCGAUACUGGAAGUCUUGAAUAUGGUAGAGGGCAACGGAAUUCCAGGUGUAGCGGUGAAAUGCUUAGAUAUCUGGAAGAACACCGGUUGCGAAGGCUGUUGCCUGGGCCAUUAUUGACGCUCAUGGACGAAAGCGUGGGGAUCAAACAGGAUUAGAUACCCUGGUAGUCCACGCCGUAAACGAUGGAUACUCGGUGUCGGCCCGUAUGGGUCGGUGCCUAAGCUAACGCAGUAAGUAUCCCACCUGGGAAGUACGAUCGCAAGGUUGAAACUCAAAGGAAUUGACGGGGGCCCGCACA